rnacentral:lncRNA from 1 species
UCCCUCUGCAGCUGGAAUAUCUUGGUUCCUUCCUCGUAGCUGCUCCCGAACGCAGUUCUCGAGAUCACGUCGCUCGUCAUUGUCUGGAAGGCCUGGCCACACGUCCACUUCACACGAUCCGCCGUCCGGCACGAGCUCGUCCCAUUUCUUCAGCAUAUCGACUGUGCUAAUGUGGAACGCCGGAACCAUAUGCUGUUGCAGCAAAGGUAUAUAUAUAUGAGUUUAAAAAUGAAAAUAAGUGGAUGAACCUAUUUGCAAAUUUGAUGAUACCUUACCUUCAAUUUCUCGACAUGGAAGGCGGGGUUGAUGAGCUUUCUGUGCUUGAACCAUUUCUCCUUCUCGUAUGUCGCAAGCCCUUUGAACAUCUUAGCAAUUGGAUUACCAGAAGGCUUCAGGUAAACAUUGUUUUUGGAAAAAAUCUCUCUGAUAAUUUCUGGGUCGCUGAUGCUCACCGCAGGCCUUGGCCCGAACCAAACGAAGUUGUUCUCACCUGAAAAAUAUGUUUAAUUAGGAUGCGUUUACUUAAUUUAAUUUGAUUGUAAAUUUUCAUUGGAAAAUGAUUAGAUAAGAAAAGAUAGAAAAACAUAGAUUCUUAUUCUCCUUUCUAUCUCAUGAUUAUUAUAAGAGAUGAAAAGAUGAGAAAGAAGCUCCUGGUGAAAAUAUUCUCCUCUGCUAAGAGAAAAUUUUCUAUCAUAAUAAACAGUGAAAAAUAUAUAUUUUCUCCCCCUUUCUAUCAUAAUAAACAGUGAAAAAUAUAUAUAUGCAUGCAUGCAUGAGAAGUAAGUACGUGGUUGUUACCAUAUUUUUUGGUAGCUUGGUGGAAAAUGGCAGUAGCUCUCGGCGCUAUUUCAUUGGUAAAUUCGAUGGGUUUGGACAAGGCUUCUCCGGUGAGCCUUCCGAUUUCUUUGAAAUCACCAUAGUAAAGCUUGUAAGGAUUGCCGUUGAAGCCCUGCUGCCGGAGGAAUUUUUCGAGUUUUUUGGGCGUAAACCAAACCCAAUCUAAUACUUUCCAUAGAUAUAUUAGAGCUACAGCAGCGCAAGAAAUUGAAGCUGUCAAGAUCAAAACAUCCAUGGUUGUAAUAAAUUCAAGUGAUUAUGAAUUGCAGUGGGAGAUAGAGGAGAGGGAUGAAGUCAUUUAUACCCGAUUUUCAGUGUUGAUUAUAGUUUCCAAUUUGGACUUUUUGACUAGUCAAUUUUGUCGGCUGCGUGGUUUUGGACCUUUGUUUGAGGUCAAUUAGUUAUUACCAGAUAAUGUCGUCCGCUUUCUUGAAAAAAAAAGAAAAAAUUAAAUAUGUUCAGGUCUCCCCACAUCCAUUCGUUCAACACAGCUAGAUUUUAAUUUUAAUAAAUGUUUGUUGAAUGUGCUGAUGAGUGGAGAAAAUAGUUUAUUUUUGAAUAGAGUGAAAAAAAUAUGACAUACGGUAUAUUGAUAAAUUGUAAAUAUUGUUGAAGUGAGAAUAAGAAUGAGGGAUUAAUAGUGAGAUCAUGUUAAAAAAAUGAGUACUCCCUUCGAUUUAUAAAAACAUGAAUAUUUUGUCAUUUUGGGUCGUCUCAUAAAAAUAUGAUCAUAUUUUUAUUUUGGUACACUAUCCCAUCAUAAUAUGUAUCUUUACUUUUUAUAAAGUGGGACUUUUUUUUAUUCACAAUAUACUUUUAUCUAAUAUUUCUUAAAAUUCGUUCCAUUUUUGUGAGACGGAGGAAGAAUAUUAUGUUUUUUGCGGAACAAUAGGAGCAUAUAUUAUAGCUAGUGGGAUUGAGGAAAUAUUUUUUUCACCCACUAUCUACAUUUUAUCACUUCUUUGCGGCGUCACUGCCUGUAGUUGCCUUGUUUGAAAUGAUCAAUAUACUAGUAUAGUUUUGAUGUAGAUGUAUAUAUAUACAUGUUUUCUAUCAUUUUCUACAUACGUUCGCUACGAGGUAGUGUAUAAAAUAACAAAACGGUCGUCCUCUUGCAAAAUAAAUAAGAAUGAAUUGUUUGACUAAUUAGCAUUAGGUAUAUAGUACAUGAAUUUUCUUUUGAAACAGUAGCUAUAUAGCAAGUUGGUGCGAGNNNNNNNNNNNNNNNNNNNNNNNNNNNNNNNNNNNNNNNNNNNNNNNNNNNNNNNNNNNNNNNNNNNNNNNNNNNNNNNNNNNNNNNNNNNNNNNNNNNNNNNNNNNNNNNNNNNNNNNNNNNNNNNNNNNNNNNAUUUCACAAUAAUUAAAUAUCCAAGUUUUGUAGUAUAUAACAUCAUAUAUAUCUUCUACGUUGACAAAAUUCAGCCUCACGUUUUAUGGGAAAUUCCAAAAAUUAUGAAAGUUCAUGUAUUUAGAACAAACUUUUAUUUAUUUUGAAAAAAACCAAAAUAGUGUAAAGUUUAUGGAUUUAAAACAAAUUAACCCUAUAUAAAAUAUCUUUAAAUCACCAAUCCCUUUCCUCAAUCAGAGAUCUGAAAUUAUUCACACAAUAUCUAAAUAUCUUUAAAUCACCAAUCCCUUUCAUCAAUCAGAGAUCUGAAAUUAUUCACACAAUAUCUAAUGUACAUAUCAAUAUAUUCCUUUAUUUUAUCCUUCUUGAUUAGGGUUGGUUAUAUAAUAACCAUAAUUCAUUUAAUUUUAAGUUUACAAUGCAGUUGUAGUAGAUUUUGAUUAUAAGUGUUAAUUAUUUCAAACUUAUAAUGUAUAAUGUUUUAUUAAUUUUUAGCUAAUUAUUUUAUAAUUAAUUUUCAUAAUUCUAAUAAGUGUUUUAAAAUAAUAAGUUUGGGAUAUUAUACAAGUGGUACAUGAAUAAUCAUAUAAUUUCACUAGUUCGUGUCUCGAUAAUAAAAAGAUUUUCAAAAGAUCUAUAUUUAAUUUAUUAAUUUAUUAAGGGUUAAAUUACCUAUAUAUUCACGAACUUUUGUCUUUUUCUGAUUUUUUCCACGACAUUUAAAAUUGACAAAUUUAUUCACCAAUUUCAAAUUCAUUCUUUAAUUUUCCCACAUGGUACAAUUAUAUCCAAAUUAAAGCUAAUCGUGACAUCAAAAUUGUUAGCGUAGAGCGAUUAUAUAAGGCUAGGGUCGUGCUACUUUGGUAAAACUGAUAUCCAACUCAACUUUUAUCUAGAAAUAAGUAUACUAUGUAGGAAAAUAAUAAGAAUAGUAAUUUUACUAAUUGGGUAGAAUUUAAUUUGUACUAAUUUUAAAUAUCGUGAAAAAAUUGAAAAAUGACUAAAGUUCAUAAAUUUAUUGACAAUUAACCCUUUUAUUAAAUAGUCUAUUGUAAUUCUUGGAGGAACUUUGACCCAAUUUGCAAACUUUACAAUUUUAAUAGGAGAUGUGACGAUUGGAAAAUUAAUUAUUUUAGGAACUUUGACCCAAUUUGCAAUUAUUGCAGAAACUUUAACCAAAUUUGCAAUUUUAAUUGUUAAUUGUCAAUUUUUCCGAAGACCUAACAAAAUGAUGUGACGUCGAAAAUUUUAUAUGGUUUUGGACGGAGUCCAUGUCGUAUAUGGUGGCGGUUGUUGCUCAUAGUUAACAAAUCAUCUCCACAUCUCUCUCUCUCUCUAUCUACGUGUCAACGUGUGUGUGUGUGUUAGAAUUAGAAAUCAAAGAGAAAAAAGUGUAUCAAAGUGGUCUUUAAACGCCUUGGUUUUGGAGCUCAAAGUUUUUUUUAGGUCCAUAACUUUUAUUGUUUUUAUAAAUAUAGGACAAAUUUUUUUCGAACUUGUAAUUAUAAGAUAAACUAGUAUAUUCGCCCGCGCGAUGCAUGGCGAACAUAGUUUUGCAUCAAAAUUAAACGAUGUAGUGUGUGUAUCGGUUAAACGAUUAUGGGUUAAUGUCUAAAAUCGAAGGUUUUGGGUUCAAGCCCCAUGUGGCGCGGCCUUUAAAUUUCUUUAUUUAAUCAUGUUAAUUUAUCAAAAAUAAAUAAAUUAAAUGAUGUAUCAAAUAAAUAAAAAAUAAAUAUUAAAUAUAUAUAGUUAGAAUAUAAGUAAAUGUAAAUUAUUUUUUCUUAAAAAAUAAAAUAAUCUAUUUCACUCUUACCUUCUUUCAUCCUCCUGUUAAAUCUCGUCGGCAGAAACCUGCCCAAAUUUAAAGUAAACGUACUGAGUCUAUUUUUAAUAAAAGUAAGUGAGACCUCACUCGAUCGCUUUAAUCACUUUAACAUUUUCAUAAAGGUGAGACCCUUAUUCCACUCACAGCAUGCUCAGCCACUUUAUUAAAAUCAGUAUCAUUAUUAAAAAUCGAGACAGAGAGAGUAGAUAGUAACUAAUGAUACCACUUUAAAAAUUUGGAAGCUCAAGAUGAUGAACCGUGCGAUUGGCUUCCAUAAUGUGCUUGGCUUGCUGUCUCUGAAGCUCGAAUAUCUUCCUCCCUUGUUCAUAGCAACUGCCAAAUGCAGUUCUCGAAAUCACGUCGCCUGUCAUGCUCUCAAGAUAAGGCCACACGUCCACUUCACAACAUCCUUUGUUUCCUACAAUCUCAUCCCAUUUGCUCAACAUUUCACCACAGCUCAACUGGAAUGCAGGAACCAUAUGCUAUAUAUAUAUAUAUCCAAAGUAUUCAAUUCCAUCAUCACUUUCCUCCAUCAAACUCAACUUGCUAUCAUAUUCACAAGUAAAUAUUUUAAAACGAUUUGUCAAUUUCUGACCAAUUAAUGUUAUCGUGGCUAGCUGAAGUGGUAAAUUGAUGCAAUCGUGACAAGUUGAAGUGAAGCAGAUAUCCAAAUACGUUGUUUGGUUUAGGUUAUAGUGAGAAUGACUAUUUUCGUGAGAAAUGAGAAUGAUGAAUAAACUAGUAUUUAGGGCUGAAUAAGUUGCUUGUAAUGCAUUAAUAGCCGUAAUUCAAUUAAUUGGUUAAAAUUUUGUCCCCCCGUAGGAUUCGAAUCCAAAUUUGUGGUUAUUCGUGUAUUACAACCACCUUAUUCAACUUUAUAUACUUACUUAUGCAUAUCAAUUCCCGUUCUCACAAAAGAUAACAUUCUCACCGAAUCUUUUCUCUACAUUAUUUAAUACGUCGGUUGUUUGUAGACAGUUCAUGCGUCCAACUCAUCAUUAAUUAAUUUGGAGGUAACCGACAACUAUGUGAAAAAUCGAAACAAUUGAAAGUUCGUGUAUUCUACCUUGAGCUUCUCGGCGUGGAAGGCGGGGUUGAUGAGUUUUCUGUGCUUCGCCCAUUUAUCUGUCUCGAGCGAUGCUAGUCCUCCGGCAAGCAGUCUAGUAAAAGGGUUGCCCCAAGGCUUUUGGAAAACAUAAUUUUUCGACAUAAUCUCUCUUAUAAUCUCGAGAUCCAAGAUUAGAACUGCAGGCGUUGGCCCAAACCACGCAAAGCAUUUCUCGCCUGCGGUUUACCGGUGAUAAUUAAUUAGGCCUCAAAACAGAGCAACAAGAAAUGCAAUACAAAAUUCUUUAAAUUAGUCUCACGUGGCACGACAUUUAAAUUUCUUUAUUUAAUACUGUUAAUUUAUUAAAAAAAUUGCAAUACAAGCUAAGAAUUAUAUAUAUACCAUAUUUGUGAGAGCUUUGUGGAAGCUAGGGAUAACUCUAGGCACAAUAUCGUGGGAGAAAAUCAUGGGCUUAGACCUGGCUUCCUUCCUUGUCACGCUUGAUUCUUUCAAAUCGCCAUAGAAGAAUCUGUAAGAAUUCCCAUCGAAGCCCUGCUGCCGGAGGCGUUUCUCCACGUAUCUUGGCCUAAACCAUAACCAAUUCAAGAUUCUCCACCCAUAGACAAGUGCUGCUGUGGAAGCGCAAGAAAUUAUAACUGUGCAGAUGAAAAUAUCCAUUUUCCGUUUUUAAUUUCUAUUUUGGGAGGAGCGGAUGUACGAAGAGUGGAAGAGAAGAUGAGAUGAGAUACAUGAGUCAACCAAAAUACAGUUUCUUCCAACACCUUUCUUUUGGUCCCUUCCGUUCGCUCUUUUAUGGUUAAUAUUUUAUACUCAGUAAAAUAAUAUUUCUUGUGAUUUCCAGUCAUAUUUAAUUUGAAUUUCUAUAUUAUUCCCUCCGUCCCACGAAUCUUGAGUCACUUUUUUUUUCGGUCGUUCCACGAAUUUUGUAGUCAUUUUCUUAUAUGGCAAAAAAAAUUACCAUUUAUUUACCUUUUCACUAGUUUCUUAAUUCUUGUGUCCAAAAGAAAUUGUCUCAAGAUUCGUUAGGACGGAGGGAGUAUUAUUUAUUAAAAAAAUAAAAAAUAUAUAAUUGCAUAGUGAAUCUUUUUUUAGGUAGAUAAUUACAUAGUGAAUCCUAAUAUAAUUUAUCAUCAAAAGUUGAAGCAUAAAAAAUAAAAUAACUAAAUUAAAUAUGGAAGAAAACAAAUCGUAAAAAAAUCAAUUGCAUAUAUUAAAUACUAAAAAAUUAUAGGUUAAAUGUUAAAAAUAAUUAUAAAUCCUGAUUGAAUUGGUGAAUCAUAAUUGAUACUCCUCCCGUCCUCCAAUUUCAUGCUUCUUUUGUCAUUCUAGUCAUCCCCUUAAUUUAUUCCCUUAAUUUAUAGCCCCUUAUAAAGAUAGAAACCAUUAUUUCAUUCACAACACACUCAACCAUUUAUUAAAAUUUGUGUUAUUUUUAAAGGAGCGUGAAAUUGAGGGACGGUGAGACCAUUAGAUAUUGAAAUUGAGAAAAAUAACAAAAAUACAAAUUAAAAACAAGGAUGAGACACCAAAAAGUACAAUAGAAGAUCCCAACUAAUAUUUGAUGUCCAAACAUGUGGGAGAUAUAUUUAUUUUACACGAUCUAUAUUAAGGUCGUUAAAGUUUUGUAAGAAUCAAGUGGGCGCCAUGUUGAGGUUGGAGAGUGAUGACGGCGCGAGGUGCGUGCGAAUACGACGGCGAAAGCUGAAACGAAUAGCGCUGCAGAAUCAUAGCCAUCGCGAUUUUAGCUUCCAACAUAGCAAAGUUCUGGCCGAUGCAUAUCCUCGGCCCCCACCCGAAGGGAAUAUAGGCGGGCUGGGGCUGGCCCCACCCCGCCCCCGCCUUCGACACGCCGUCGCCGAACCUCUCCGGCUUGAAUUCCCUCGCAUCGUCGCCCCAUAUUUUGCAGUCCUGAUGGAACAGAAUCAUGGGGAGCGCAAUAUUGACCCCCGCCGGCAGCCUCACCUUCUUCCCGACCGUCAUUUCCUUUUCGACAAAACGAUUUAGCACCGCCGCCGGCGGAUACAGCCUUAGCACCUCUUGAAAGAUCAUGCUAACCUGCACAUCAUCUUCAUCAGUUCAAUUUUUGCAAUUCGAUUCCCCAAUUUUUUUCAAGUGAGAGCCGAACCACGUUGCCGCGAAUAGGCCUAAGAAUGACAUGCCAAAACUAUCAAGAAGAACAAAGCUACAACAGAAGAACAUAUAAAAUUACAAUCGAAAAAAAUUAGGGGGACGGAAUUGCAAAAAUUAAAAAGAUAGUGAUUUAAUUCGCUAUAUUUUAAAAGUCACGUCAAAAAAUUGCAAAGUCUAAAUAGUUCAUGAUUUUAUUUCUCAGACCCACUUUUUAUUAUAAAAAAAACCUUAACUUUCAACAAUUUUCAGAAAAUGUUUCGUUAUAUAAAAUUCGACAAAUGAGUCAUCUUGCCGUAUUCUUAACUCAUCAUUUCAUCAGCGCCGAAUUUGAUAUAACGAAACAUUUUUUCAGAGACGUCGAAAAAUGAGGACACAAAAUAUGAUUAAUCUAAGUGCAAAAAAAAUAUAUGAUUCAUCCUAAAAAAUAUUAAUGAAGAGAUUAGGAAAAAAACACUGACGAUUUUGAGGUGGUUUAGUUUUUGAUAGUCCGGUUUGCCUCUCCCGAAAACUUGCAGAACCUCGUCUCUUGCACGAGCUUGCCAGUCGUCGUGCUUGCUUAAAAGGAUCAUUGUCCAAACCAGCAGAGAAGCUACGGUCUCGUGGCCGGCGAAGUAGAAGAUUUUGCACUCUUCGAUCACUUCCUUGAUGCUCAUGCCGGAUUCAUUUCCUAGAUGUUUCAUCUCCUUCAAAUUGGAUUCCAACAGUAAUCCCAAUAAGUCAUCUGCGCUGCCUUCCGUUGCUUUCAUUCUUUUGUUGAUGAUUCCGAUCACUAAUGAUUCGAUUUCCUUCGUUGUCUGUCUCGUCUUCCUAUUAGCUUUUGUGGGCAAAAACCUGCAGAAAAUUGGGUAUAAUUAAGUUGGUGAGAACACAUGCACAAACACACACUACAAAAAAAAAAAAAAAUCGGCUUGAUUGCUAUUAUGCGUGUGAUAAAAAUUAGUGACAUUUGAUAAUGUAGCUAAAUCACUGAUAAUUACAUUUUCAAAGUCUACUAAUUUUUAUGACACGAAUGUCACUGAUAGAAUUUUUUUUUUGUAGUAACAUUCGUAUCUUGCUCAUGGAAAUUAUGUGUUUGUGCAUGUCUUAGUUUUCACUUAAAAAUAUCAUUUUCAUCUUAUAUUUUAUAUAUAUAUAGAUAGAUAGAGAGAGAGAGAUGAAUCUAGUGAGAAUAAGAAUACAUGAAUGACACCUAUAUCCUGGGAUAUUAACAGAGCUAUUUUCUUCCAUGACACGCUGCGCUUGUUUUUUUUGGAGUUGUGAUAUCUUUCUUCCUUCUUCGAAGCUACUCCCAAACGCAGUUCUUGAAAUCACAUCACUCGUCAUUGUCAAAAGAUGAGGCCACACAUCCACCUCACAACACCCUUCAUUUCCCACAAUCUCAUCCCAUUUGCUCAACAUUUCACCACAGCUCAAGUAGAAUGAUGGAACCAUAUGCUGUUUGCAUAUAUAUAUAUCAAAGCAUUAGCAACCAAUUUAACUAGAAAAAAAAUGGUGUCUUAUUUCAUACAGAAACUUUGUAAGGGGAUAGAUAGUUUUGAGGUUUAGGUAGAUAAAUAAAAAUAUAUAGUGUAGGCAAAUCCAUUAUUUACUAUUCACCCGUCCACGGAACAAAGUCUCAUUUCAUACUGGGCACGGAGAUUAAGAAAGCUGAUAAAAAAUGUUAUUAGUGUGAUAAAAUGAUAGUGCACAGAAAUUAAGAAAGCUGAUAAAGAUAUUAUGAGUGAGAUAAAAGGUGGUGACUAUGACAUUUUAUUACUUUUGGGGAGGUCCAUUAGUGGCAAAUGGUAAAAAAAAAUACUAUAAAUGUAUAAAAAGAGACUUUAUUUGGUGGACAAAUGCAAGUAGGACUUUGUUUCGUGGACCGAGGGAGUAAAAUGGAUUGAAUGCCCUUGAUAUUUCUAUUAUUUGAGCUAAUUUUAUUUGAUUUAUACUCCAUUUGUCUCAUUAGUAAUGUCUCAUUACUUUUGCACAUGGAGAUUAAAAAAAUGUAGUUAGUGUAUAAAGUGAGCUGGUGCACCAUUAAUAAUUUAAGUUAAUUGAUGUAUAAAAUGAGUUGGGUCUACCAUUAAUAAUAUUUUAAAUAGUUAAUUUUUACUAAAAAAGAUAUGAGACAUAACUAAUGGGACGUCCUAAUAUGGUAGCUGAGACAUUACUAAUGAGACAGAGGAAGUAUUAAUUAUGAAAAGUAAACACAAGUAAAUGAAGAAAUUUAAAAAUCACACGGCGGUGGAUUCGAAUCCAGAACCUCAGGCAUUGAGCAUUAAUUAACCACUUAUCGUUAGACCAACACACGCACACAGACUACGUACCUUCAAUUUGUCGAGAUGGAAUGCCGGAUUGAGGAGCUUUCUGUGCUUGGCCCAUUUGUCUGCCUCGAGCGAUGACAGUCCAUUUGCUAUCUGUCUAUCAAAUGGUGAACCAGGAGGCUUGUGAAAAUCAUAAUUCUUCAACAACAUCUCACGUAUUAUUUCAGGAUCCAAGAUUACCAAUGUAGGUCUUGGCCCAACCCACACAAAGCAUUUCUCACCUGCAUGCACUUUCACUAAUUAAUUGUCACCAAAUAUUACAAAACUAAUUAAGUGCAUCUUAGUUCAUGUGCUAAAACAAGAAUUUGAUGAGAUGAGAAAAUGAAUUUAUUUUAGAUGCGUAGAAAGUAGAGUGAAUAUAUAUACCGUAUUUGUGUAGGGCUUUGUGGUAGAUGGGAGUGACUCUAGGCAAAAUAUCAUCGGAGAAGUUGAUGGGUUUGGACAUGGCUUCUUUCGUAGCCGCCUUCAUUUCUGUCGAGUCUCCAUGGAAAAGUUUGUAAGAAUUUCCAUUGAAACCCUGCUGCCUCAGGAAUUUCUCCAGCUUCUUUGGCCUAAUCCAUAUCCAAUUCAAGAACUUCAACAUAUAUUAAUGCUAUAAUAGCGCAAGAGAUUGCGAAUAUGAAUGUGAAAUCAUCCAUUAUUAGUAGUUUUGUUUAUUGAAAGAGCAUAGGCUCAUGCCAUAGAUAUAAGAGAGAAAUUAAAAGAGAAGUACUGUUAAAGGAACUUGCGUAAUUUCUUUGAUUUUCUUUUUUUUGUUUUUUUUUUUACAUAUUGUUCUUUUCGUCUAGAUGUGUAUAUCUAUCAAGAAAAAGACCAUUCAACUACUAAGUACUAUAAGCUGGUGGGGGAAGUGACAUAUUCUAGAAUAUUCAUGAAUCACGAGUAUAUAUAGAAUAGCUAAUUAAUACACGAUUUCAAUCGAUAAUUACGUAUAUCUUUUUAAAUACUCCCUCCGUCCCACGAAGCAUGACACAAUUUCUUUUUGGUCUGUCUCACGAAGCAUACACAUUUCUAAAAAUGGCAAAAAAUUCACCCUUUAUUCACAUUUUCACUUUUUCACCUACCACACUUAACACACAAAAUAUCAAUUUCUUAUUCCACACCGAAAAGAACUGUGCCAUGCUUCAUGGGACGGAGGGAGUAUAUGGAAAUUUAAAUACAAGUAGAGUUGCACAAACAUUCAUCUCUUUAAUUGGGGGGGGAAGCAUUCAUGUCUCUUUCACUUUAGGAUAUUCAAGCGAUGAAGACCUUCUUAGCCCACGUUUGGUUGAUGUUUUUAGAGAUUGAAAAUGAAAUCAAGUAAUUGAAUCCAUUACUUGUUGUUUAGUUUGGGUAAUGAGAUAAUCAUUACCCUUACUUGAGGUAACUCAAUCACUCAAUUUGUUACCCCUCAAAAUAUAGGGGAAACAAAAGAAAGAUAAUCCCUUACUAAUGUUUCCUUUCCAUUGUUAAACAAACACUCAAUAAAAGUAAUGAUUAUUGUUACAUUCCACUCUUUAUUUGAUUCUAUUCACUUUCCAUUCUCUACUUGAACCGAACGAGCACUUAGUAUGUAAGGUUCAACCUCCUCUAUCUCCCCCUUCUACUUUGGUGUCCAUUUUAGGGGUCUUUUUCAUGAGUUGUAUUUUCUUUUUGUAUAUAAGAUUCGUGAUUUUGACAGUGAGAUCUUUUCUUAAUUUUGUGGGAACAAAUAUUGGCAUUGGAUUUUAUGGCCAUAUUUUAUUAUUUUUCUUAAUAGUAUAUCUUACUCACGAGCUCUGUCUUAUUUAUACAAGUGAGGUUCUCAUCAUUUGGGUGUUCUAUAAUAUGAUAAUACUAUGGCUAUUACAAACUAAAAUAAUAAAGGGAUUGUAAAGAAAAAAAAUACACGAACUUUGGUAAAAAUUUGUAAUUUUCACCCCAAGUUUUAAUUAAGCUAUAAUUGAAAAAAAUAUAUGAACUUAUAUUUUAGUUGCAAUUUUCACCUGAUCGAGUUUGUCUUCCGCCGAAAUUAGAGCUCAAUCUGAUCCAAAAAAAAUAGUUUUUCAAUAUUGUAUGCUUUGAUUGUAUUUUUUUAUUAUAUUUUGCAUAUAAUAUGAAUAUUCGAUUAGGAUUUGAAUUAAAAAUUAAUUUUUCUAAUUAGGUGAAAUUAAGCUUUAAUUUCGCCGGAAGUCAAACUCACGUGAAAUUGCAACUAAAAUAUAAAUUUAUGUAUUUUUUAGUUUAAUUGAAAAUCCAGAUCAAAUUGCAAUUUUCACCUAUGCUUGUGUAUUUAUUUGCCAUAACCCCAAAAAUAAAUAGCAAUGUUGAAGCAGUCUGCAAAUUUACUUUUGGGUCAGAAUAAGCUACGGUUUUGGGCCGAUUUUGAUUUUGAACUGCUCCAUCCGAAUUCUCAAUUUGGCCGUGGGCUCAAGCCGAAGAAAAAGUUCAAAUUUUGAGUUAGAUUCUGCUAUGAAUUUUACUUGCGAUGGAUUUUCAGCGGGACCCAUAGUUUCAUAGCUUAGUAGUACUGCAUAUAGGUUGCGUUUAUUUUGCAUAAUUGAUAAGAUGUAGGAUUGAAUAUUUUUAUUUUUAAUAAUAGAAUUUUUUAAAUCCCAUAUUUUUGGUAGAAUAUAAAUCAAGCAAAACUAGCUUAAAUGAUUUGUCUGUGAUCGCUCGCGCUUGCGAUUGGGAAACUAUUCACUUUUAAUUUCUUUAUUUCUUAAAGUUUGUUAAUCCCAACACUAGGUAAAAAAAAAUCCCAUCAUCUGAUGGUCGUCUCUAACGUUGAGAUUUACUAUUGUCAAAAUAAAAUGAAUUUCUCGUGCAGGUUUAAUUCCAUUAAGAAAACUAGGGGCGUGUAUUAAGAUAUUGAUGGAAUUUACUUGUAAACGGAGAAUCAAUUCACAUGACAAAUAAUAUGCUUAUUGCAAUAUUUAGUAAUCAAUAUUAGUAUUUUGGAUGAUAGAAUAAUGAGUUUUCAACACGAAAUUAACAGGAUACAAAUAAUUACUCCCUCCAAAUAAAUACUUACACGGGUUUUAAGGAAAUGUUGUAUUGAUAGUGGAAAAAAAAUUAUACUCUCCGUCAUAUGUCCUAAUCUCGGCACAGAUUAGAAAUUGAUAUAUGUUAGAAGAGUCAGAAAAUAAACCAUCAACUAACAAAAUUAAAAAUAAGAAACCCUAGUUUGGUACAUACAUUUGAAUGCAGAAGCAAUCGAGUAAACUAAUUAAUUAUAUUAAUCUUGAAUUAGAUUCACACAGCUCGUCACUAAUUAACCCCACAGCCACAGAAAAAAGUAAAAAUCAAGAAACAUGAUGAUAAUCUUCCAUGGGAAUCAACUCUGCUAAACACCAAGUUCCAUUGCUCCAUUCUUGAUGAGUCCGCAGCCUAUUCUUGUGGUAAAAGAUCUCAUCUCCGGUGGUCUCGAAGAACACCGUGUAACCAUCUCCGCUUCUGCCGGUGAUCCUCCCCCACCACCACCCGUCGUUGUCGAACGCGUCCACCACGUCGUGCAGCCGGUACUCCGUCGCCGGAUCGGGCGGCGGCCUGGGGCGGACCUCGGCGGCGGAGGCCACCUCACGCAGCGGCGCCGAGAGAUCGUCCUUGAGCAGAGUGCGAUACUGCACGUAGUAGCCGUGUUUUGAGAGAUCGGUCAUGACGGUGGCCUCGUAGUAGGAACCAACAAAUCCUUCCUGCACGCUCGCCACCUCCACCGGAUCGCCGCGCCGGAACCGCCGCGCCAUUGUUGAUUCUGUUUCUUUCCAAAAUUUGUUGAUUAAUUGAAUAUUGAGAUGUACAGAUUUUGGGGGGAUUAGUUGGUGUGUAUUUAUAGAGUGUUUCUGGACGUAUGUAAAUGAUUGUUUCCAUGUUCG